CAGAAAUACCGAACAUCCACAACCAAAAGAAAUGGCUGCUCCAUUGUCCCUCAACUACCUCAGACCACCCUUAUCCUCAGACAAUCCUCUUCCAAAAAACCCCACCAUCAUCACAGCCAUUGCCACUGAGAACAAGAGCAACAUCAUCAACAACUCAACUCAGCCACACCAUGUCUAGUUUCACUAGAAAAUUGCUCCAACAUGAAGGAGCUAAAGCAAAUCCAUGCCCAAAUGCUCAGAACCGGCCUUUUCUUCGACGCAUACACCGCCAGCAGAAUCGUUGCCUUUUGUGCUCUCCAACAAUCAGGGAAUCUCCAUUAUGCUCGUUUGGCCUUAACCCAGAUCGCCAAUCCCACAUCCUUUACUUGUAAUUCGAUAAUCCGAGGCCACACGAACAAGAACUUGCCACGUGAGGCUGUUCUUUUCUACCAAGAAAUGAUAACUCAAGGUCUUGCUGUCCCUGAUAGAUUCACAUUUCCUUCGUUGUUCAAAUCGUGUGUGGAUUUGCGUGAAGGGAAACAGCUGCAUUGUCAUUCGACUAAGCUUGGUUUCGCUUCGGAUACUUAUAUUCAGAACACGUUGAUGAAUAUGUACUCGCAUUGCGGGUGCUUGGUUUCGGCCCACAAGGUGUUUGACAAAAUGGUUGAUAAGUGUGUGGUAUCUUGGGCGACCAUGAUUGGAGCUUACACGCAAUGGGAUCAACCGGGUGAAGCUAUUAAGCUUUAUGAUAGGAUGGAAAUUGAGGGUUUGAAAGCUAACGAGGUUACUUUGGUUAAUGUUUUGACCGCGUGUGCUAGAGCGAGAGAUUUGGGAACAGCGAGACGGGUGCAUAAGUACAUUGAUGAGAAUGGUUUUGGGUUCCAUGCGGUCCUUAUUACGGCUCUUAUGGAUGCUUAUUGCAAGUGUGGUUGUGUGUCACUUGCUAGGGAUUUAUUUGACAACAUGCCAGAGAAGAAUUUGGUUUGUUGGAACAUUAUGUUCAAUGGACAUGUUGAGGAUAGUGAUUAUGAGGAGGCAUUGUUACUCUUUCGAGAGAUGCAACUCAAGGGCGUUAAGGGGGAUAAGGUGACUAUGGUAAGCUUAUUGCUUGCUUGCAGCCAUUUGGGUGCUCUUGAGCUUGGUAAAUGGUUGCAUGCCUAUAUUGGGAAGGAAAAAAUUGAGGUCGAUGUUGCCUUAGGAACAGCACUUGUGGACAUGUAUGCGAAGUGUGGGAGCAUAGAAAUUGCAGUGAGAGUAUUCCAAGAACUUCCUGAGAAAGAUGUUAUGACUUGGACGGCCUUGAUUGUAGGUCUUGCAAUGUGUGGCCAAGGGGAGAAGGCAUUGGAGUAUUUCCAUGAGAUGCAGAUUGGAGGGGUGACACCAGAUGCAAUUACCUUUGUUGGGGUCUUGGUAGCUUGUAGUCACGCCGGAUUAGUGGAUGAAGGAAUUUCACAUUUUAACUUGAUGUCUAAGACAUUUGGCAUUCAACCUAGUAUUGAACACUAUGGUUGUAUGGUUGACCUAUUAGGCCGAGCUGGCUGCAUAGCUGAAGCAGAGGAGUUGAUACAGAACAUGCCAAUGGCACCAGAUCAUUUCGUUUUGAGAGGGCUUCUGAGUGCCUGCAGAAUCCAUGGCAACCUUGAGGCUGCAGAAAGAGCAGCUCAACAGCUUCUAAAGUUGGAUCCAAACCAUGUAGGAACAUAUGUGCUUCUAUCAAAAAUAUAUAGCUCGUUAAGGAAGUGGGAUGAAGCUGAAAAAGUUAGGGAACUCAUAGCUGAAAGAAACAUAAAGAAGCCCCCAAGUUGCAGUUUGAUUGAGGUUGAUGGUGUUGUUCAUGAAUUUGUGAAGGGAGAUUCAUCACAUCCACAAUCCUCAGAGAUCUAUAACAUGUUAGAAGACAUGAUAAACCGAUUAAAGAAAGCUGGUUAUGUUCCUGACAAAUCAAAAGUGUUGCUUGAUGUGGAAGAGGAAGAAAAGGAGACUGCACUUAGCCUUCAUAGUGAGAAGCUAGCCAUUGCAUUUGGGCUUGUAAGUACUGAACCUGGUACCCCAAUUCGAGUUGUAAAAAACCUUCGUGUAUGCAGUGAUUGCCACACUUUAACCAAACUCAUCUCCCGGGUUUACAAUAGGGAAAUAAUAGUGCGGGAUAGGAUUCGGUUUCACCACUUUAAGGAUGGAGCUUGUUCUUGUAGGGAUUUUUGGUGAUGUAAGAAUCAUCCUAUACUCUUUAGAUAUUUACCAAUUUUUUUGCAUUGUGUACCAUAUUCAUAUACCUCAGGUUUCUUUUUUUUCACUUUUGAAUCCGUUGAUCUUUUGUGCAUUAGGUACUAGUAC